GAUCCUACGGGAGGCAGCAGUGGGGAAUAUUGCACAAUGGGCGCAAGCCUGAUGCAGCCAUGCCGCGUGUAUGAAGAAGGCCUUCGGGUUGUAAAGUACUUUCAGCAGUGAGGAAGGUGGGUAUGUUAAUAGCAUAUUCAUUUGACGUUAGCUGCAGAAGAAGCACCGGCUAACUCCGUGCCAGCAGCCGCGGUAAUACGGAGGGUGCGAGCGUUAAUCGGAAUUACUGGGCGUAAAGCGCAUGCAGGUGGUUUGUUAAGUCAGAUGUGAAAGCCCGGGGCUCAACCUCGGAAUUGCAUUUGAAACUGGCAAACUAGAGUACUGUAGAGGGGGUAGAAUUUCAGGUGUAGCGGUGAAAUGCGUAGAGAUCUGAAGGAAUACCGGUGGCGAAGGCGGCCCCCUGGACAGAUACUGACACUCAGAUGCGAAAGCGUGGGGAGCAAACAGGAUUAGAUACCCUGGUAG
rnacentral:rRNA from 1 species